rnacentral:rRNA from 1 species
CGGGGGGAGCAAGCGUUGUUCGGAUUUACUGGGCGUAAAGGGCGCGUAGGCGGCCACCGCAAGUCGACUGUGAAAUCUCCGGGCUUAACCCGGAAAGGUCAGCCGAUACUGCGGGGCUAGAGUGCAGAAGGGGCAACUGGAAUUCUCGGUGUAGCGGUGAAAUGCGUAGAUAUCGAGAGGAACACCUGCGGCGAAGGCGGGUUGCUGGGCUGACACUGACGCUGAUGCGCGAAAGCUAGGGGAACGAACGGGAUUAGAUACCCCGGUAGUCCUAGCCUUAAACGAUGAAUGCUUGGUGUCUGGGGUUUUAUAGUCCCCGGGUGCCGUCGCUAACGCUUUAAGCAUUCCGCCUGGGGAGUACGGUCGCAAGACUG